GACAGAGGGUGCGAACGUUGUUCGGAAUUACUGGGCGUAAAGCGCGUGUAGGCGGCAACGCAAGUCGGGCGUGAAAUCCCACGGCUCAACCGUGGAAGUGCACUCGAAACUGCGUAGCUAGAGUCCUGGAGAGGAAGGUGGAAUGCUUGGUGUAGAGGUGAAAUUCGUAGAUAUCAAGCGGAACACCGGUGGCGAAGGCGGCCUUCUGGACAGUGGCUGACGCUGAGACGCGAAAGCGUGGGGAGCAAACAGG
rnacentral:rRNA from 1 species